rnacentral:lncRNA from 1 species
AUAUAAACUAGUCAUCAAAUGAGAAGGAAGUGAUGAAAGAACAGGAAAAAAACCAACUAAAUAAUUCUUGGUCCAUGGAAAAGACCAACAAAAUGGCACAGUAGAUAGAGUUAGGAUGACCCAAAUUCAAAUCUGGCUUCCACACUUGCUAGUUAUGUUACUCCAGGGACAAAUCACUUAAUCUCUCUAAAUUUUCCCAAGUGUGAAUUGGGGAUAAUCUUAGCAUUUAUCUCCCAAGGACUGUUGUGGUGAUCAAAUGAGAUUAUUUGUAAAGUACUUACUUAACUGUCAUUUGUUCUCUAUGCUAGAAAUCUAUCAUGAUAUCAGGAAGGUGAUGCCAGCACAUGCAAGUGAAUUAGAUUUACAUGAUGGAGGGCUGUGCAAGGUCACCUGCCUCACUUUCUCUCCCCACUCCCCUUCAGUUAUUUGGGUCCAGUGGCAAGAAAGAGAUCAAGAUGCCUAGAAUUGGCCAGUGCCCAACACAAAAUUCUAGGUCCUUAAUAAAAGCUUGCUUUUUCCCUUCCUUCCCCUGGGUAUGCUUAUGACAUUAUCACUUUCUGAAUAUUAGGCCAAAAUUUUAGAGGUAAUCUGGGAUAGUAAAUAGAUUAGUAAAAUGCAAAACAAAGUCCUGCUUCUGAUACAUGUUGACUACAUGACCCCAAGCAAGUCACUUCACCUGUGUCUCAGGCACCUCCCCAUAACUUUCUCAAGUUACAGAUUUUAAUUUGCAUUGAAAGGGAAUUUUUGCCGUCUCCCCAUAAAGAACAAACCACAUUUUCUUCUUGUUUUUCUACAUGCAUUUUUUCUUUGUUUUCCUAUUUUUUCCUACUACUUUUUAAAUGAGUUGUUUUUAACUCCAAAUUAAUUAGAAACAAUGUAGUAAAAAAAAAAAAAAAUGGGGAUUAGAGUAGAUGACUUCUGAAGUCCCUUAUAAUUCUGAUUCUAAGUGAUCUGCAAUAUCUCUAAAUGUGAGAUCACAUAGUAGUGAGGUGGUUCAGAGAACAGAGCACCAGACAGAGUUAAUUAGUUCAUUUUCUGGUCUUAGUCACUUAUCUACAUUAAUUUCACCAUCAAUAAAAUGGGGAUAAUAGCACUUAUCUUGCAGGGCUGUAGUGACCCAGGUGCAUAGAAGGUGCUUAAUUAAUGCUUAUUUCCUUCUUCCCUUCCUGUGACAGUUCCAAUUACCUUCAAGCCUAGUGUAGAAGAAAGAAUUCUUAUUGGAUGAGGAAUCAAAAGAUCUCUUUUCUAGCCCCAGCUUAGACAUGUAUUAGCUGUUUAAUCCUGAAUGACAUUUCACCUUUAUGGGUGUUCUGCAUAAUCCCUCUUCCCUUUUCCCUCUACACCUGCUCUCUUGGGACCUCAUCAGCUCCCAAAAGUUUAAUGAUCAUCCAGAAAUUACCAUAUCUAAACAUCCAAGACUUAAUCCCAAAUUUCCCAUUGGACAUUUCCAAUAGUGUUCUGUAGGCACUUUGAACUCAAUACAUCUCUAAAUUUAAAAUAAAAUUCAUUAUCUAUCUCCCACCCCAUUCUUCUCCCAACCUUCCUUAUUCCAGUCAGGAACAUCAACCUCCUAAUCACCCAAGUUUACAAUCGUGGUUAUCAUCUUUAUUCACUUUUUGACUCCCCAUAUCACCUAACAAAUCUUAUCAUUUCUAACCCCACAACAUCUCUUGCAGAUAUUUCUUCCUUUCUCCAGUUAUCCCCUCUUGCCUGGACUAUUUGAUUUCCCUGAAUUGUCUCUCUUUCCAUCCAAACCAUCCUCCAUACAGCUGCCAAGAUAUUUUCCCUAAAAUAUGUUUGACAUUUAAAGCUCUUCACUACCUUGGGCCCUUCCUACACUUUAAUCCCCUUCUCUUCAGUUCAGUAAUACUAGCCUACUGCCACAUAUAAGCUACUCCAUCUCCCAUCAUCAUGCCUUUGCACUGAACAGUAUGAAGUUGGUCUAGAA